rnacentral:rRNA from 1 species
GACGAACCGUGCGAACGUUGUUCGGAAUCACUGGGCUUAAAGGGCGCGUAGGCGGGCGCAUCAGUCCGGGGUGAAAGCCCGCGGCCCAACCGCGGAAGUGCCCCGGAGACGGUGCGCCUCGAGGGGGGUAGGGGCGUGCGGAACUUCCGGUGGAGCGGUGAAAUGCGUAGAUAUCGGAAGGAACACCGGUGGCGAAAGCGGCGCGCUGGACCUCUUCUGACGCUGAGGCGCGAAAGCCAGGGGAGCAAACGGG